UUUUUUUAUUUUCCAUCCAAAACUUAUCCUUUUCCUUUUCCUUCCCCUUCUCAAUUCAAAACCCUAGCUGCUUCUCGCCGUGCCAAAUCAAAAACCGCUAGCUCCUUGCCACUAUCUAGAUCACUGCUUCUCGCCGUGUUGGUUCGUCUUCACCGUCGCUUCCAUCACUCAAGCUCGUGUGGGUUCUGCUUCUUCUUCACCGAGCCCGUGCGCUUCAGCGCGACUGCAUCCCACAGCGCGCCGCACCUUCUGCUGCUUCAUCUUGCCGCCGCACCUUCCGCUGCCAUUAUCGAGGUUUGGUUUGUAACCAUUAUUUUUCCUGCCAUUUUCUAUCUUGUGUGCUAUGUUUUUUCGUUUAAUUUCUAUGGAAGCCUGUGAUUUUUUCUGAAAACUGCAAUUUGAUUCUGUCGUCGGCACGUUUCCCCCACGCCGUGGGUAAUACCCUUGUCCUCUGCGCAAAUCUAUGAGAAGGAGAAGAAGACUGCACCCAGUCGUUGUCUUUGCCUCUUAUGCGAUAUUCUUGUCCUUUGCACAAAGCUGUGAGAAGGAGAAGAAGAAGCAAGCUUCAAAUUGACAGUAUUAGGUUUGAUUUCUAUUGGGUUACUGCAAUACGGGGACAUUUUUUCUUGGAUAAUUUGGUUGGCCACUGUCUGGAGUAUCUGGAAGCUUAGAAAUUCAGUAAUUUUUAGGGGUAGUGAGAAGGAGCUGUCUCAGGUUGUGAACGAGGUAAAUUUCAAGGCAUGGCUAAUGGCUAUGGAUUAAAGUAAAUCAUAAAAACUUCUCCUAUUCUCUCUUUGAGUGGAAUCAUUGUCCUCUCUCUUGUAUUGAUAAUAGUUGAUAUUGAUAGUGAGUGGGGAAUGUCAUAGGACCUUACAUCUGUUUUGGGUACCAUUGCUAAUUAAUACCCGAGUGUUUUUUCGUUAUUAGCUAGCUUCCUGACUCUAUUGUAACUUUGUUAUGGUUCUCUUUGUAAUGGAAUUUGUGCUGGGAUUUUUUGAUACACUAGCACGGGUCACCGUUGUUGGUCAUGUUAAAAGUGCAUUUUUGCAGUGUCGAACGUCAUGGUGAUAUUUUCAGAAGUUGAAGUGUCGGUGAAAGGGAAGGAAAUGAAGGUUGCGUACUCUGUACGAGAGAUUUGUGGACAGGGUUGACCAUGUACAACACAUUGUUUUUUGGAACCUACUUCAAAGGUCUGGUCCAUUGUUGAUGAGAUAAAAUAGGUGAUUGCAGCUAGUUCUAAUACAAGAACAGAGAGCGCCAAAGCUGAAGACUUUUAUGCUGAAUAGGUGGAACUGGUUAAGAAGGAAAGUGAACAAGGGGAAGACGUUUUCGAUCAGUGGAAGUUGCAAGAUUUGUUCAAAUGUUGCAGAGAAGUUUUUUUUUUUUGAUAGGCAGUGUUGCAGAGAAGUUGAUAUCACUGGGUGGACAAAGUCUAGCAACGCUUUGGUGGGGGAAGAUUCUUGAGAGGAUGUCAUUGAGUGUGAUACAGUUUAUUUAUUGUUGGGAUCUCAAAAUUGUGGAAUUUAUUUUGGUGCACAAUUUUUAGUUUGUUUGAUUUCAGCACAGAUAUAUAGAUUGGGUAUCAAGUGUUAAUUUAGUCAUGUUUUGAUUCA